UACAGAGGUCCCAAGCGUUGUUCGGAUUCACUGGGCGUAAAGGGUGCGUAGGUGGUGGGGUAAGUCGGAUGUGAAAUCUCCGAGCUCAACUCGGAAAUGGCAUUGGAAACUACCCUGCUAGAGGGUCGGAGGGGGGACUGGAAUGCUUGGUGUAGCAGUGAAAUGCGUAGAUAUCAAGUGGAACACCAGUGGCGAAGGCGAGUCCCUGGACAACUCCUGACACUGAGGCACGAAAGCUAGGGGAGCAAACAGG
rnacentral:rRNA from 1 species